rnacentral:rRNA from 1 species
CAACCUGCCCUUCAGAGGGGGACAACAGUUGGAAACGACUGCUAAUACCGCAUAAUGUAUCCGGGAGGCAUCUCCUGGAUACCAAAGGAGAAAUCCGCUGAUGGAUGGGCUCACGUCUGAUUAGCUAGUUGGUGAGGUAACGGCUCACCAAGGCUGCGAUCAGUAGCCGGACUGAGAGGUUGAACGGCCACACUGGGACUGAGAUACGGCCCAG